UGGGGAAUUUUGGACAAUGGGCGAAAGCCUGAUCCAGCAAUGCCGCGUGUGUGAAGAAGGCCUUCGGGUUGUAAAGCACUUUUGUCCGGAAAGAAAUCCUUGGCUCUAAUACAGUCGGGGGAUGACGGUACCGGAAGAAUAAGCACCGGCUAACUACGUGCCAGCAGCCGCGGUAAUACGUAGGGUGCAAGCGUUAAUCGGAAUUACUGGGCGUAAAGCGUGCGCAGGCGGUUUGCUAAGACCGAUGUGAAAUCCCCGGGCUCAACCUGGGAACUGCAUUGGUGACUGGCAGGCUAGAGUAUGGCAGAGGGGGGUAGAAUUCCACGUGUAGCAGUGAAACGCGUAGAGAUGUGGAGGAAUACCGAUGGCGAAGGCAGCCCCCUGGGCCAAUACUGACGCUCAUGCACGAAAGCGUGGGGAGCAAACAGGAUUAGAUACCCUGGUAGUCCACGCCCUAAACGAUGUCAACUAGUUGUUGGGGAUUCAUUUCCUUAGUAACGUAGCUAACGCGUGAAGUUGACCGCCUGGGGGAGUACGGUCGCAAGAUUAAAACUCAAAUGAAUUGACGGGGU
rnacentral:rRNA from 1 species